UGUCCUCCAGACUCCUCUAGCGGAUGAACUUCCACAACACCUUCCAAACUCUUCUAUCGGUCAACCUUCUAUAGCACCUUCUGAAUUCCGCUAUCGAUCGACCUUCUGUCGGAUUCCUCAUGCAACCGGACCUCUCCAACGGAUAGUCUUCAGACAAGCUUCUACAUUAGAUAAAUUUCAGACAGACUUCUCUAGCAAUCGGACUU
rnacentral:lncRNA from 1 species